UACGGAGGGUGCAAGCGUUAAUCGGAAUUACUGGGCGUAAAGCGCACGCAGGCGGUUGAUUGAGUCAGAUGUGAAAUCCCCGGGCUUAACCCGGGAAUUGCAUCUGAUACUGGUCAGCUAGAGUCUUGUAGAGGGGGUAGAAUUCCAUGUGUAGCGGUGAAAUGCGUAGAGAUGUGGAGGAAUACCGGUGGCGAAGGCGGCCCCCUGGACAAAGACUGACGCUCAGGUGCGAAAGCGUGGGGAGCAAACAGG
rnacentral:rRNA from 1 species